rnacentral:rRNA from 1 species
GCCUUCGGGUUGUAAACUGCUUUUGUACGGAACGAAACGGCCUUUUCUAAUAAAGAGGGCUAAUGACGGUACCGUAAGAAUAACCACCGGCUAACUACGUGCCAGCAGCCGCGGUAAUACUUAUGGUGCAAGCGUUAAUCGAAAUUACUGGGCGUAAAGCGUGCGCAGGCGGUUAUGUAAGACAGUUGUGAAAUCCCCGGGCUCAACCUGGGAACUGCAUCUGUGACUGCUUAACUUGAGUACGGUAAAGGGGGAUGGAAUUCCGCGUGUAACAUUGAAAUGCGUAAAUAUGCGGAGGAACACCGAUGGCGAAGGCAAUCCCCUGGACCUGUACUGACGCUCAUGCACAAAAGCGUGGGGAGCAAACAGGAUUAAAUACCCUGGUAGUCCACGCCCUAAACGAUGUCAACUGGUUGUUGGGUCUUCACUGACUCAUAACGAAGCUAACGCGUGAAGUUGACCGCCUGGGGAGUACGGCCACAAGGUUGAAACUCAAAGGAAUUGACGGGGACCCGCACAAGCGGUGGAUGAUGUGGUUUAAUUCCAUGCAACGCGCAAAACCUUACCCACCUUUGACAUGUACGGAAUUCGCCAGAGAU